rnacentral:rRNA from 1 species
ACGGAAGGCAGCAGUGGGGAAUAUUGGGCAAUGGGGGAAACCCUGACCCAGCAACGCCGCGUGGAGGAAGAAGGUUUUCGGAUCGUAAACUCCUGUCCUAAGGGAAGAUAAGAAGGCUGUACCUUAGGAGGAAGCACCGGCUAACUACGUGCCAGCAGCCGCGGUAAUACGUAGGGGGCAAGCGUUGUCCGGAAUGAUUGGGCGCAAAGGGCGCGUAGGCGGCCCGGUAAGUCUGAAGUGAAAGUCCUGCUUUUAAGGUGGGAAUUGCUUUGGAUACUGUCGGGCUUGAGUGCAGGAGAGGUUGUUGGAAUUCCCAGUGUAGCGGUGAAAUGCGUAGAGAUUGGGAGGAACACCAGUGGCGAAGGCGAGUAACUGGACAGUAACUGACGCUGAGGCGCGAAAGUGUGGGGAGCAAACAGGAUUAGAUACCCUGGUA